rnacentral:misc_RNA from 1 species
GAUGAAGAACGCAGGGAAAUGCGAUACGUAAUGUGAAUUGCAGAAUUCAGUGAAUCAUCGAAUCUUUGAACGCACAUUGCGCCUGCCAGCACUCUGGCAGGCAUGCCUGUUCGAGCGUCAUUUCAACCAUCAAGCCCUAGGCUUGCGUUGGAGCCCUGCGGCUGCCGCAGGCCCCUAAAAGCAGUGGCGGGCUCGCUAUCACACCGAGUGCAGUAGAUUACUCUUCGCUCAGGGCGUGUGGCGGGUUCCAGCCGUGAAACCCCCUACUUCUCAAGGUUGACCUCGGAUCAGGUAGGAAUACCCGCUGAACUUAAGCAUAUCAAUAAGCGGAGGA